GAUGAACGCUAGCGGGAGGCCUAACACAUGCAAGCCGAGCGGUAUUGUUUCUUCGGAAAUGAGAGAGCGGCGUACGGGUGCGUAACACGUGUGCAACCUGCCUUUAUCUGGGGGAUAGCCUUUCGAAGGAAGAUUAAUACUCCAUAAUAUAUUGAACGGCAUCGUUUAAUAUUGAAAGCUCCGGCGGAUAGAGAUGGGCACGCGCAAGAUUAGCUAGUUGGUGAGGUAACGGCUCACCAAGGCGAUGAUCUUUAGGGGGCCUGAGAGGGUGAUCCCCCACACUGGUACUGAGACACGGACCAGACUCCUACGGGAGGCAGCAGUGAGGAAUAUUGGUCGAUGGGUGCAAGCCUGAACCAGCCAUCCCGCGUGGAGGACGACUGCCCUAUGGGUUGUAAACUUCUUUUGUAUAGGGAUAAACCUACCCUCGUGAGGGUAGCUGAAGGUACUAUACGAAUAAGCACCGGCUAACUCCGUGCCAGCCGCCGCCGUAA
rnacentral:rRNA from 1 species